GGGAGGUGGCUCAGUGAUAGAGCACUUGGCUAACAUGCAUGAGGCCCUGAGUUUAAUCCCCAGUACCA
rnacentral:tRNA from 1 species